ACUCCUACGGGGAGGCAGCAGUAAGGAAUAUUGGUUCAAUGGAGGGGAACUCUGAACCAGCCAUGCCGCGUGCAGGAAGACAGCCCUCUGGGGUCGUAAACUGCUUUUAUUCGGGGAAUUAAACCUUUCUACGUGUAGGAAGCUGAAUGUACCGAAGGAAUAAGGAUCGGCUAACUCCGUGCCAGCAGCCGCGGUAAUACGGGAGGAUCCAAGCGUUAUCCGGUAUUUAUUGGGGUUUAAAGGGUGCGUAGGCGGCUUAUUAAGUCAGGGGUGAAAGCGGUGGCUCAACCAUCGCAGUGCCCUUGAUACUGAUGAGCUUGAAUACACUAGAGGUAGGCGGAAUGUGACAAGUAGACGGUGAAAUGCAUAGAUAUGUC
rnacentral:rRNA from 1 species